UGGAGGCGGCAGGGGCGCGAAUGUCCGACCCCCCCCCAUCCCUCAGGUGUCAUGGCGGCCUUGGGUCCCCUCAUGGCGGCUUCGCCCCUCGCUCCCCCUCAGGGCCGCGGGUGGCCCCGGGUGUCCCCAAGGCCUGGGGGAGGGUGGUGGCACCGCGCUUGGGGACGUGCGACACCCCCUGGGUGGGGUCAACUCGCUCUUGUGGCCCUCAACAUUCCCCCCCCCCCUCAGGAUGGGCGCGCUGAAAUUGCCCCAAAGUGUCCCAAAUGUCCUUAAAAUCGGAGCAAGUCUCCUUAAAACUGUCCCCAAAGGGCUCGUGAGGUCCCCCGAGGUGUCCCCAAGCCCUUCCAGGUGUCCUUAACCCCUCUCAAACUGUCCCCAAGGUGUCCCCGAGGUCCCCAGGGUGUCCCCAAGCCCCUCAAAUUGUCCCCAAAGUGUCCCCAAGGUGUCCCCAAGCCCCUCCAGGUGUCCCCAACUCCUCCAAAAGUGUCCCCAAACUGCCCUCAGGAUGUCCCUGAGGUCCCCAAGGUGUCCCCAACCCCCCAAAAGUGUCCCCAAAUCCCCCUCAAAAGUGUCCCCAAACUGUCCCCAAGGUGUCCCCAACCUCCUCAAAAAGUGUCCCCAAUCCUCUCAAAGUGUCCCCAAGGUGUCCCCAAGCCCCUUCAGGUGUCCCCAAGCCCCUCAAAAGUGUCCCCAAACUGUCCCCAAGGUGUCUCUGAAGUCCUCAGGGUGUCCCCAAGCCCCUCAAACUGUCCCCCAAGUGUCCCCAAGCCCCCCAAAAGUGUCCCAAAUCCCCUCAAAAGUGUCCCCAACCCCUUCAAACCGUCCCCGAGGUGUCCCCAAUCCCUUCAGGUGUCCCCAACCCCCCCCCAAAAGUGUCCCCAACCCCCUGAAAUUGUCCCCAGGAUGUCCCUGAGGUCCCUAAAAGUGUCCCUAAAUCCCCUCAAAGUGUCCCCAAGGUGUCCCUGAGGUCCCCAAGGUGUCCCCGAGCCCCUCCAGGUGUCCCCAACCCCCCCCCCACAAAAGUGUCCCCAAGCCCCUCAAACUGUCCCCAAACAGGGGGGACAGUGAUGUCCCUGAGGUCCCCAAGGUGUCCCCAACCCCCCCAAAUUGUCCCCAAUUCUCUCAAAUUGUCCCCAAGGUGUCCCCAAGCC